UACGAUCACGCCUUCGCCUUGCCACAGUCUCCUGAAGAACCUGAAAAACAUGAAACCAUAACUGUAAGCCCGAAAGCUUAGUGAGAUAUCCCCAAAAUACCAACCAUAAAUACCAUACACGCAUAACAUGCCAUAACAUGUCCGAUCACAGAACAACCAUGCACUUCGGGUCUACUGUGUGACUGGUCCGCCGCACCGGCCUACAGUCCACCUUGUCCACCCUCUGAGUCUAUCCACAUACAUCGAGUCUACAUUNGUCUCCGGUGUGCCGGGCCCGCCGCACCGGCCUUCAGUCCACCUUGUCCACCCUCUGAGUCUAUCCACAUACAUCGAGUCUACAUUGUGAUUGGUCCCCCCGCUCCCGGGCCUUCAAUCAACCUAGUCCACUCUCUGAGUCUACAGUAUGACUGGUCCGCCCGCACCGGGCCUUCAGUCUAUCUGGUCCACUCUCCGAGCCUUCGGCACGUCUGGUCCGCCCUUUCGGGGCCU
rnacentral:lncRNA from 1 species